CCUACGGGUGGCAGCAGUGGGGAAUAUUGGGCACUGGGCGCAAGCCUGACCCAGCAACGCCGCGUGACGGAAGAAGGCCCUCGGGUUGUACACUUCUUUUAUUCGGGACGAAACAAAUGACGGUACCGAAUGAAUCAGCCACGGCUAACUACGGGCCCGCAGCCGCGGUAAUACGUAGGUGGCACGCGUUAUCCGGAUUGAAUGGGUGUAAAGGGCGUGUAGGCGGGAGAGCAAGUCAGACGUGAAAUUCCAGGGCUCAAACAUGGAACUGGGUUUGAAACUGUUCUUCUUGAGUGAUGGAGAGGCAGGCGGAAUGCCGUGUGGAGCGGUGAAAUGCGUAGAUAUACGGAGGAACCCCAGUGGCGAAGGCGGCCUGCUGGACAUUAACUGACGCUGAGGCGCGAAAGCGUGGGGAGCAAACAGGAUUAGAUACCCCUGUAGUC
rnacentral:rRNA from 1 species